rnacentral:pre_miRNA from 1 species
UUUUUAGUAUAAGUAUGUCCCAUGCAAUAUUCUGGAUAUACUUAUACUAAAA